rnacentral:tRNA from 1 species
GGUGAUGUAGCUCAGUGGUAGAGCACUUGCCUCGCAUGUGAAAGGCCCUAGGUUCAAUCCCCAGUACCC